CCUUUUCCUCGCGUUUUUGUGUAUAUAUGGUGUAUAUAUGAUCGUAAUUCAGUCACAUACACACAACUUUUAGCCCUCCCCCUGUAUAAUCAGCUUCUUUUUCCAUUUUUUAUGCGUAUAUCCUCAGCAUACUGUUGUAUACCUGUGUAUGUAGCUUUGUUUCUCGACGGAUUUAGUCUAUUUUUUGGAUUUAGACAAGGUUCAAACUCGACGUUAGACUAGGCCUCGAUGGCCCAUUACAGAAAUGCAAGGACGUGGGUCGGAUUAGACUCCAACGACGAUGCUCAUGCAAAAAGAAGAAGUAAACGAUUAACUCAAUUCGAAAGACUCUGGCAUACAAUUUUAGAAAGCAAAAAAAAACAAGUUCUCACUAACCAAUGUUAUUUAAAAGAGGAGAAAUUAAAUCUUUGAACAACUGUAGGUGAUUAGAAUAGCAGAAAAUGAAAUGCGUCAAUUGUAAGAUCGUAUUGAAAACAAGAACAACAUAUAUUACUUUAUUCUAAGGGAAUCAAAAAUAUAUCCUAACUAAUUAAUCGACUUAGACAAGACUAAUCUAACAUUUACAAUUAUGCAACUACUCAUUAUCUCACUAAGCUAACCAAUUUACCUAAACUAAUCAACUAUUUACUUUAUAAUCUCAACACAGUUAAACAAAAAUUUGUUUAAAAAAUAUCUUGUUCAUCAAAUUUCAACAAUCCAAACAUGACCAGACAAAGGCACCAUUAUACAGAUGAAAUCGCCAUUUUAUUAAAUCACCAAAACCCCUCAAUAUAGAAGACUAAAGACCAUAAGAAAGGAGAUAAGUAUUUUGGGAGAUUCAUUAUCUCUACUUGAACACAAAUAUUAUCAUUUAAAUAUGGCCAUAGAGAAAGUAAUAAACCACUAUCCUUAAUCAGGGAGGUUUCACUUUCCAGUAAUCAAUUUUAAACUCGCUCAUAUGCAUACAAAACAAGAACAGAUUUCAAACUAACACCAGUGAAUGUAAAACAGAUUUCAAACUAGCACCAGUGUAUGUAAAACAGAUUUCAGACUAUCACAAUGGCACACAAAACAGAUGUACUUUUUUUGGUGAUCAAUUCUAAGCCACCACAUAUGCAGACACAUAACAUGACUUCGACUUAGCAUAUCUCAAACUUUCAAAUUUUCAUCAAAAAAUCAAAACCUCUUUUUUUUUAUUAGACGAGACCAGCCCACUCUCACAAUUAUAGCAAAAUUCUGGACUUACUAUAUUCAAGAGUAAAUAAGAAAAAACCUAAGAAAGAUGAAGUGCUCACAGAACACUAAAGAGAAUUCAUACAAAAUCAAAUAAGUCUUAAUUUAACAUGAGACGAAAACUUUAGUUACAGGAAACAAAUUGGGUGAAAAGUUUACCAACUUCCAUCAUAGAACACAGGUUGGGGAUUUUGUGGAGCUGAGGGGUAUAUAGAUUGUGAUGGCAUUUUCCCAGAAUUAGACCCGAAAGAUUUCUUUGACUUCGGGUUUGGACUAGAGGAUACAAAAGACACAUCUUCUCUCUUUUUAUUAGGGAAUCCUGAAGAUCCAAGUUGUGCAGAGAUCUUGUUGAUUUUUCCUGUCCGGAGUCCUUUUUCAAUUGUUUCACCAAUCUUAACCAAGUCAGCGAAGGUAGCAUGAAUUGUCGAUUUCAUUUUGUCAUAAAACUCUCCCUCCUGAGCUCGGGUAAACACAACGACUAUUUUUUUCUGUCAUAGGAGGUCAUACCUCUACUGCCUCUUUCUGCCAAUAACAGGCAUAUUCAUAAAAGAAUUCAUUAGACUUUUUCUUGAUGCGGUUCAAAGAAUAUCGAUCAGGAAAUAUCUCUACAUUGUAGGAAAAUCUAUCAACAAAAUCCCUAGCUAAAGCACUCUAUUUAGGCCUUUUCUUUAAUUUUUGUGAAGCAACCCACUCAGGCUUCGACUGAAGAGCCUUAGCAACAAUGCUUCAUUUCUACCAGAGCCUACCAUUUGGUCACAAUAUCUUCUCAAGUGGGUUGUCGGGUUUCCAUUACCAUCAAGUGUCUCAUACUUAGGGACUUUAAAUACUUCGGGCAAGUUCAAGUCAAGGUGAAUGCAAAGGUCAUCAUAACUGAACCCUAUUGCAUUGGGCGAAUUGUGUGUUUUCUUCAUCUUGGUGAUCUUUUCCUUUAUCAGUAGUAGCUUCCUAGCAUGUCUGCCUUCAGGCACCUUACACUCCUUCUCCAUCUCCUCAUAAUGGUCAAUUUAUAGAUUUUGGGGGAAUGUAUAGUAAAAGGAAGGCAUUACAAUAGCAUGAAUGGUAGCGGGAGGCAUAUUUUGGGUCAUUAGAGGAUUUUGAGUGGUAUGAGCAAAGUUUUGGUAUAUGGGAACUGAAUUUUAAGGAACAUUGGCAUUGGGACUGAAAACAGGGUGAGUAUUUUGGGAGGUGAAGGCAUUUAUGAAGGUAUUUUGGUAAUUUAGAGUGAAGCUUUGAGGGUGGUAAGCAUUUGGAUUAUUUUCUCGAUUGGUAUUGUAAGUAGGCGGGUAUGGUUUUGGCACGACAGAUUGAUGGAAUUAGCGGGAGGUCUAGGCAUAGAAAUGGAGGGUAUGUCGUUUGGUUAGUUUCCAUUGUUGGGAAAGCUAAGAGGAGGAAAUUGUAGUGGAUGCGCAUAGUUAUCCAAGACUGGCAUAUUAGCGACAAUGGCCAGAUUAGCCAUAUCUUUUGCUCAUUGUGCUUAUUCUUGAAGCUCCCCCAUUCUCCUAGUUAGUUCAACAAUCAUCUCACCUUGUGUCGUUAUCACACUAUCCCUAAUAGUAAUUUCAGUAAGAGCAUUAUCAUCGUUACUAUCAGUCAUUCUUUCCUCUUCAGCUAGGCGAUGGUCAAGAGAGGAAUUUUUAUUUUCCUUAGAUCUAGUAAAAUAUUAAUGUUCAGCCAGUUUUGUCAACAUAGAUCAAUUUCUACUUACUUGAUACUGGUUAAAACAACUCCAAAGGAAAAUAUUUUAAAUUAUUUAGCUUUCAAUAAUGCAAUAUAUUCAACAUAAAGUUAUUUUCAUCUUAGUUAAAAUAAUUCGGGGGGGGGGGGGGGUUUUUUCCGAAAAAAAAAAUGAGUAGGUAUUGACUCGAAAGGAAUUAACGGGCAGGACUUUGUCCAUUGAUUUUUGGAUAAAUGGGUCUUGACAGGAUUUUUCUAAGUCUUCUGAUUUUGGACUCAUAUGACUUUCUUUGAAAAAACGAGACAUAAAGAUUUUAAAGGAUAGAGGUCGGGCCAAAAGGCUACCUACGUAUCACACAAAAGAGAAAUCAGGCCAUACAUAGUUAAAAUAGGCAAGGAUAAAACUUUGAUUCAUUGAAAUCUCAUUAGAGUUCAUUACAUCAGGAGAACACGAAAAGGAAAAUAACAACAGAAAAGACAAAAUUAAUGACUAAGUCUUGGGUAGAUGCGAGCAAUCCCACUUCAUCCCGCUUCUUCUAUAUCUUGAUAUCCUAUAGGUGGUAUGGAGGAAAUUCUAUCUCGACCCUUUCUGUAUCCACCAGGCUCUCCAAAUCUAUCUUAAAAGCACGACAAGUUUCCAAAUUGUGCCCUCCGAUCCCUCCUUGAUAGUGACAAACCUUUUUGAAUUUCUUCGAAGCCUUAGACAUCUUAUUAGGCUUCCUUACCACUAGCUCUAAAAUCUUGGCAUGGAUGAGCUUUGACUAGAUUUCAUGGUAAGUAUCCUCAAACCUUGUGAAGUCAUAUUUGUAAAGUUGUAUGCUAUUAGUGACAGGUAUGCUUGGAUUAACCUGGUCGCAAUAGAGACUGGUUUGUGAUCCCUACAAAUUGUUUAUUUUGCCAUUGUGGGUCUUGUUGCAAAUCCUGGCCUUCAAAGCAAUACACUCGUCAGUGGUAUGGCCAGAUUGAUUCAGAAAAUAACCAAAUCCUUCCAUUUGAUCGGGCUAGAGGACCUCAUAUCUCUUAGGAUUUUAUAAAGCCGAGCAUGUCACGAUCUGGGGGUACCAAAAAUAUCUUCUGAAGCGAGAUCUGAGGGUGAUUUUUUCACUUCCCGACCUAAUCCUAGUUGGCCAGACGACAUCCCCUUUAAUCUUAGCCCAACAGUCCUCUCUUAAGUUUGAAGGUGGGGCUUGCUCAAACUUCUUCUUUUCCUGCGUGAUCAACUGCUUGACUUCGGCAAUUUCCUUGUCGGCCUAAUCGGCCCUCCUAAUCAGUCUCUUGAUCUUUUUUUUUUUUUGCAUUUCCUCCAUUUGGGCUAACUCUACUAUCCCUCUUUCAGUUGUGUGGUACUUAAAUCCAUGACAAAUCUUCCUAAAAGAAUAUGAAUACAUUUAAAAAGAAAGUUAACGAAAAUGAUUGAGGACUUUCUGAGAGACUUGGGGACCUGGAGCAUUUUGGGCGAACUUUAGAUAAUAAGCACAUAUUUUUUCCUAAAGGGUUUCUAAUACUUUGUUAAAGAGUAGAUCAAUUUACCUUUGAUUUAACAAUGCAUAUAAUCACAUAAACAGUUAUAUCACACAAGACAGUUAUAUCAGACAACAAUAGAAUAAUAAACAGUUUGUCCUAAUUGGGUGAUCCUUUUGAGCCAAGGGUUGGCCUAGCAAAUUUGAAGGAAAUAUAUGCUUUUUAAACCAAUCAAUUAACCCCCCAAAUCUCCAUAGAUAUAUAGAAAGCCAUGAGUGUUUGCAAAAUAUGCAUAAAAGGAUACAAUUUUUACGGAAAGGGGAAAUGACAUAAAAAAGGAACAAAGUCCCGCGCAAGGGAUGGAAAAUUAACUCCAAGAUGAUCUUUCGUCGUCCUCGCCUUCUUAGAUUUAUCCACAUCUUCCCAUAUGUGAUAUCUUUUGAUGGUCAGGCGGCUCCCACAUAAUUGUACUUUGUUCUUGUAGGUCAUCUUCCCUAUGCUAUCAAUUUGAGAAGCCAUGUGAUCAUCCAAAUCAAGCAAACACUGUCUUGCAUCAUCAACCUCUUGCCUAGUUCGCUUUAACUCUUCUCUCAAUUGGUGUAUAGUUGAGGCAACCUCUAUCUGCAUCUAUUGGAGCAUCAUUUCACCUCUUCAGAAUUUGUCCUGAAGCUUGUGGAACCGGAUCUGAUGUUCUGACUCUACAUCAACAAUCUGUGUGGGUACAUUUGGACCCAGAACCAAUGUUCUGGCAAUAUUCUCUUUCAACUACUCUUUGUAGGUAUCACUAACCUCCGGUUCAUACCCAAUACAAAAGAAAACUUCCUUCAUCUUUCUUCUCCUCCACCCAUCUACCAUGUACUGUUUGAGUGGAGUUUCACCUUUGUGUGGUACUUAAAUCCAUGACAAAUCUUCCUAAAAGAAUAUGAAUACAUUUAAAAAGAAAGUUAACGAAAAUGAUUGAGGACUUUCUGAGAGACUUGGGGACCUGGAGCAUUUUGGGCGAACUUUAGAUAAUAAGCACAUAUUUUUUCCUAAAGGGUUUCUAAUACUUUGUUAAAGAGUAGAUCAAUUUACCUUUGAUUUAACAAUGCAUAUAAUCACAUAAACAGUUAUAUCACACAAGACAGUUAUAUCAGACAACAAUAGAAUAAUAAACAGUUUGUCCUAAUUGGGUGAUCCUUUUGAGCCAAGGGUUGGCCUAGCAAAUUUGAAGGAAAUAUAUGCUUUUUAAACCAAUCAAUUAACCCCCCAAAUCUCCAUAGAUAUAUAGAAAGCCAUGAGUGUUUGCAAAAUAUGCAUAAAAGGAUACAAUUUUUACGGAAAGGGGAAAUGACAUAAAAAAGGAACAAAGUCCCGCGCAAGGGAUGGAAAAUUAACUCCAAGAUGAUCUUUCGUCGUCCUCGCCUUCUUAGAUUUAUCCACAUCUUCCCAUAUGUGAUAUCUUUUGAUGGUCAGGCGGCUCCCACAUAAUUGUACUUUGUUCUUGUAGGUCAUCUUCCCUAUGCUAUCAAUUUGAGAAGCCAUGUGAUCAUCCAAAUCAAGCAAACACUGUCUUGCAUCAUCAACCUCUUGCCUAGUUCGCUUUAACUCUUCUCUCAAUUGGUGUAUAGUUGAGGCAACCUCUAUCUGCAUCUAUUGGAGCAUCAUUUCACCUCUUCAGAAUUUGUCCUGAAGCUUGUGGAACCGGAUCUGAUGUUCUGACUCUACAUCAACAAUCUGUGUGGGUACAUUUGGACCCAGAACCAAUGUUCUGGCAAUAUUCUCUUUCAACUACUCUUUGUAGGUAUCACUAACCUCCGGUUCAUACCCAAUACAAAAGAAAACUUCCUUCAUCUUUCUUCUCCUCCACCCAUCUACCAUGUACUGUUUGAGUGGAGUUUCACCUUCUUUAUAUUCGGUGAUAAAUCUAACCAUAGACGUCGUUUGCAGUGUUUCCUGCUUGAUUUCAAACCACCUAAGAACCCCUUAGACCUGGAAGUACUAAAAAAGGCCAUUCAUUUCCUCGAGUGAUGUAUUUUCUCUGGCGAAGAUAUCUGAUAAAACACUGAACAAUGUCCUCUUUCAAUUCUCUAAAACCCUUAAACCAAAAUCCUGGAGAUUGUAUCCUCUUAAACUUGUGCAAGGACAACCAAAUGUCAUGUGAUGAUAAAAGAUCUACCCUUGUCUGAGGGUCCGGCUGCUCUACUCUGGGAUUUUUCAAUAAAUGUUUCAUCAUCCACCAUUGCAAGAUAAGGCUACACCCCUGGAAGAAACGAUGCCUUCCUUGACACUUUCCCAAAGCCUUAUAUAUUUCAACGAUGAUCAUGGGAGCUAAAGUAUAAUACUUUAGUGGUUUUGUAAUUUACUCCAUAGAGAAAAAGGCGUGUGUCACCAUAACGACUCUUGAAUUAAUGGUGCCAUUUUCUCCUUGUGGGAACUCUAUAGUUCCAAGCAAGCCCAAGGCAAAAGCAAAUGCUCUUUUCUCUUUCCAUUUUGACUCUGAUUCGAACUUAUGCCCAAACUUCUCAAAAACGUUAUACUUUUCAAACUAGCGAUAUAACUCAAGAAAAAAUAUGUUAUCUUCAUCAUGUUCACCCAACCAGGUAUCAUCACUGAUUGAAAAGGCAUCCUUGAUCUCCUGACGGUUCCAUACAGUAGGGGCUAGAAUACUUUUGUCGGGUGCACUCUUUCUUUUCCUACACAUAUCAAUGCUCUCAUAAUAGGUCAUUACUUCUUCAAUAGUGGGAGUCAAUUCCAUUUCCCCAAAGCGAAACUCCAUGUUGCUAUCAUCCCAGAAUGUUGAUAGCACAUAGAUCAUUUCAAGCCAAACAUCCAUCUCUAUAAGCGAAGGUAGAUGUUCGAUAUGUGUACUAACAAUCUCUUUGUCUUUUCCAUCUAUAUGAGUUGACCAUGCUUUCAUAAAGUUAUCAGGUCCGGUAACCAUCUUGAAUUUUUUACAGGGGUAUGAUUGAGCCAUUCCUAUACGAAAGAAAACAAAAGUAAGUCUUCCCCUUACCCCAAAGGAUAAUUGAUUGGAUUAAACAGACAUAUAUCUUUUCAACACAUAAGCAUAAUUCGUCUAUAAUUAGCUUGUGGCCAAUAGGCGCCGGGUAGGUUUUCUAAUGGGCUCAAUACCCUCGCAGGUAUUGGGUCAUCCUAGGCUCAUACCUAAAAGAGUGUUUUGAUUUUGUUCUAUCCUAGGUGUCUAGAGUGGGUUUGGACCAGGUUUUCAAGCGGACGACUUAGGUUUAGAAAUACAAAUAGCCAUCAGACGCCUAACAUGCCAAUAAACCGUCGUUUUCCCAACACGUGAUUUGAAAUAGAACAAUAGGGGCCGAGACAUCCAUGAAACCCCAAACAAUUUAUAUAUUUCGAAUGUGAAAAUAUGUCAUGAAAUGCAAUAAUUUAAAACUUGUGAAAAUUUAAACACAGAAAUAGUCAAACAGUUUAAAUAUUACAAACCCGAAUAGUUAUUCAAAGAAGUUAGUUCAAAUAUUUUGUUAGACCUAGAUAUAUUCCCAGCGGAGUCGUCAUUUCUGUUUUAUCCCUUUCCAGAUUUCAUUUGAGAGAAUGAUUUUAACCUUUUGAAACUAUUUUAAAAAUUCAAGAAAAUUUCAAAAUAAUUCUUUAAAGAAUUUACAAAGUCGCCACUUAAUUUUUACAGAAAAUAUCAAGAAAACUUAAAGAUAUUUCAAAGAUUCAAAAACUAAAAUAAAUCUUUGAAAUAAAAGCAACUGGGUAACGGUUUAAUUAAUGUCCUAAGAAGAUUUUUAAGGCACUUAGGAGCGUCCGUUUAAAACGGUUCACCAAAAAUCAUGCAAAAAAGGUUGCUUUUAUAAAAUUGUUUGUUCUCAUAUUUAAAAUUGACAUUUGUUUAUUCAAACGAGAGAUAUUCUACUUGAAUUUAGUACUUAAUCCGAUAUCAAUUUUGAGAAAAAUUACUAAAUGUUCCGCUUAAUUUGAGGAACAUUACGAAAUAUCUUGCAUGAGAAAAUAUUUUACUUAGUCGCAAGAAAGUUAGAAUUUGAGAAAACGAUCAAGGAAAAUGCUAAUGGAAAAUUUCUACUUAAUUCGCAGUUAUUUCUAGAGAAAUUAUGGAAUAUUUUCUUGAAUUUAAAAAGAAAUCUAUUUAAACUAGAUUGCACAUUCGAAUUUAAGGAGGAAAUAAGUUUGAUUUUUAUGGAAAAGAGGAUUAUAUAAUUAUAUAUUAUUAUUAUUAUUAUUGUCAUAAAAAUGGUCAUUUUGUUAUAAAUAACACCUUUAAAAAAUAUUAAGAACGUAUCAUGUUAAAAAAAUAUUUUAUCAAUAAUGAGAAGUUAGAAUUUAUGAGAAAGAAAUUAACUUCUUGAGUUUAAAAAAAAUUAUUUUAACCCAAGUAGGCUAUUAGUCAUGUGAACAAGACAAGUGCUAUUUUCAAAUGGAGGGCUUAACAAUUUUUUCUUUUAAAAACUAGUUUUUGGAAGAACAAUCGAAAGAGCCACUUUAAUCCGUUUAGACAAAAUAAAUUAGGAGAGAAAAUUGCGAAUCAAAUAUGGAAAUCGAAGGAAAACAAAAUAACAACAACAUGAGAAAACACUGAAUUAAUUAAUUAAAGUUAGUGCUAAUACAAUUAAAUAAAUAUAAGUUGCAAUUUAUAACAGAAUAAAAGAUUAAAGUUGAGGUUGGACCCCUUUUUGGCCCAUCAGUAGGCUGCCCAACCUUUGGGCUUGCAAUUUUAUGGACUUUUAAGUUCCAUUUCUCUGCACGUAUACCAGAUAUAUAUCACAACUCCAUUUCCUUGCGUUUUUGUGUAUAUAUUUUAAACACAUACAUACAACUUUUAGCCCCUCCCCCACCCCACCCCCCCACAUAAUCAGCUUCAUUUUCCAUUUUUCAACCGUAUAUCCUCAGCAUAUUGUUGUAUAUCUAUGUAUGCAACUUUGUUUCUCGACGGUUUUCGUCUAUCUUUUGAAUUUAGAGAAGGUUCGGACUCAACGGUAGACUGGGCCUCCACGACCCAUUGAAGAAAUGCAGGGAUGCGGGUCCGACUAGACUCCAACGAGGAUGCUCAUCAAAAAGAAGAAGUAAACGAUUAACUCAAUUCGAAAGACUCUUGCAUACAAUUUUUGUAAGAAAAAAAAAAGCUCUCAUUAACCAAUGUUAUUCAAAAGGGAAGAAAUUAAAUCUUUGAACAACUGCAGGCGAUUAGAAUAACAAAAAAUGAAAUGCUUCAAUUUUGAGAUUGUAUUGAAAACAAGAACAACCUAAAUUACUUUAUUCCAAGGAAAUAAAAAAUAUAUCCUAACUAAUUAAUCGACUUAGACAAGACUAAGCUAACAUUUACAAUUAUGCAACUACUCAUUAUCUCACUAAACUAACCAAUUUACCUAAACUAAUCAACUAUUUACUUUAUAAUCUCAACACAGUUGAAUAAAAUUUUGUUCAAAAAAUAGCUUGUUCAUCAAAUUUCAACAAUCUAAACAUGAGCAGAAAAAGGCACCAUUAUACAGAUAAAAUCUCCUUUUUAUUAAAUCACCAUAAACCCUCAAUAUAGAUGACUAAAUCAUGAGAAAGGAGAUAGGUACUUGGAGAGAUUCAUUAUCUCUACUUGAACUUAAAUAUUAUCAUUCAAAUGUGACCAUAGAGAAAGUAAUAAACCAAUAUCAUUCAAAACAGAUUUCAGACUAUCACAAUGGCAUACAAAGCAGAUUCACUUUUUCCGGUGAUCAAUUCUAAGCCAACACAUAACAUGACUUCGACUUAGCAUAUUUUUCAUCGAAAAAUCAAAACCUUUUUUUUAUUAGACGAGACCAGCCCACUCUCACAAUUAUUGCAAAAUUCCAGACUUACUAUAUUCAAGAGUAAAUAAGAAAAAAAUGCAAGAAAGAUGAAGUGCUUACAAAAUACUAAAGAGAAUUCAUACAAAAUCAAAUAAGUCCGAAUUCAACAUGAGACGAAACUCUAGUUACAGGAAACAAACUGGGUGAAAAGUUCACCUUUUUGGAGCAGCGAACGAGUCUUCAAAACCUUAUCGGAACAACUUCCACCACAAUUUCAGUGCUUUAAUGAAAUUCCAACGAUUUAGGAUGAAUUUUGAGAGUGCACUAAAAAUUUCUCGGUUACGUAGGGUUAGAGGUGAGCACCUCCAGAACCCUCAAGUUUUUCCUCAAGAAAUCCUCAUUCCUUUUCAUGGUGAAGAAAGGGCUAUUUAUAAAUGAAAUCUGGAUUUUCAAAUCCGGAAUUAAAGUGAAAUUUUUUUCAAAAAAAAUGUGUGGAUGGAGUUUGAAUUCAAAUUCAACAAAGAAUCUCUUUCAUAUCUUGAAUUAAUGAAGAAUUUCAGAACAAUUUUCGUUGUAUCACGGUUUGGGGACUAUUUCUCUGCCAUUGUUGGUUUCAACGGGUUGAAGAGCUAAGAAAUGGUGACGUGGCUGAGUUUUGGGAAUUGACGUUGUUUGUUGUUGAGGUUGUUAAACACCGUUUGUUGGAAUGGGUUUUUCCAUGGAAGUUGCUCGCAAUUGUUGUGGUUGCUGGUGGUUUUUUGUACUCUGUUAACUGUUGUUGUUGUUGUGUUGGAUAUUGACAAUAGGGGAAAAGAGGAUAAAGGAUGGGACAUGGGCCGGGUCAGCUGAUUUGAGAAUUGGGCCUGAUUGUUGUAUUGGGUUGGAGGCUGAUGGAUGGUUGUUGGGCUAAGUUGCUGAUGUAGUGU
rnacentral:lncRNA from 1 species